AUGCCACUCCACCAACCCAUCUCGCUGGGCGCUUGGUUGUAUAUAAAAGCGCACGGCAGCACAAGCACAGCAGCAACCCCAGCCCCCGCUAAGCAUCAGCCUUCUACCUCCUCUGCUUUGCAUUCCUCCUUCCAGUUCCAACCGCAAUCAAUGGCUGCCAUGAAGAUCACCCUCCUUGCCGUGGCCGCAAUCUCGGCACUCUUACUAGGCACCGCAUCGGCGGCGACCUACGGUGUCGGCGAGCCGGGCGGUUCGUGGACCCUCAACACCGACUACAGCAACUGGGUGUCCAACAAGAAGUUCCACCCGGGUGAUGAGAUCGUCUUCAAGUACUCGACCCCGGCGCACGACGUGGUCGAGGUGAGCAAGGCCGGCUACGACUCCUGCAGCACCGACGGCGCCAUCAACACCUUAACCUCCGGCAACGACGUCAUCUCCCUCAACGCCACAGGCACUCGGUACUUCAUCUGUGGCGUCCCUAGCCAUUGCAGCCCCACCGCCGCUGCCAGCAUGAAGGUCACCAUCGAAGUGGUGCCGGGUGCCUCCUCGCCAUCGUCACCCAUGCCGGCCGCGGGUCCCGGCGCGACCAACCCGCCGCCGCCCUCCUCUACCGCAACCUCCGUCGGGGCCGCAGCAGGAUUUGGCCUCGUCGCCCUACUGGCGGCCGGUCUCAUGGCUUAA
rnacentral:rRNA from 1 species